GGUCCCGCGGCCCAGUGGUUUCGGCGUCUGACUUCUAAUCAGAAGAUCGCGAGUUCGAUCCUCGCCGGGAUCU